ACAUAGAAGUAAAAUUUUACAUUUAGUUUCGGCCUAAAAUUAGGACUGUGUCCCAUGUU
rnacentral:tRNA from 1 species